rnacentral:rRNA from 1 species
ACGGAGGAUGCGAGCGUUAUCCGGAUUCAUUGGGUUUAAAGGGUGCGUAGGCGGACUAUUAAGUCAGUGGUGAAAUCCUGCAGCUUAACUGCAGAACUGCCAUUGAUACUGAUAGCCUUGAGUUUGGUUAAGGUAGGCGGAAUGUAUAAUGUCGGGGUGAUAUCCUAUAAUCCUGGUAGGGGCACCUGGAUCGAAGGCGGCUAACUGUAACGAACCUGACGGUUAGUAACGAAAGCCUGGGGCUUGUACCG